UCUACUAGUUGUCGGGUCUUAUUGACUUGGUAACGCAGCUAACGCGUGAAGUAGACCGCCUGGGGAGUACGGUCGCAAGAUUAAAACUCAAAGGAAUUGACGGGGACCCGCACAAGCGGUGGAUGAUGUGGAUUAAUUCGAUGCAACGCGAAAAACCUUACCUACCCUUGACAUGUACAGAAUCCCGAAGAGAUUUGGGAGUGUUCGAAAGAAAACUGUAACACAGGUGCUGCAUGGCUGUCGUCAGCUCGUGUCGUGAGAUGUUGGGUUAAGUCCCGCAACGAGCGCAACCCUUGUCAUUAGUUGCUACGAAAGGGCACUCUAAUGAGACUGCCGGUGACAAACCGGAGGAAGGUGGGGAUGACGUCAAGUCCUCAUGGCCCUUAUGGGUAGGGCUUCACACGUCAUACAAUGGUACAUACAGAGGGCCGCCAACCCGCGAGGGGGAGCUAAUCCCAGAAAGUGUAUCGUAGUCCGGAUUGUAGUCUGCAACUCGACUACAUGAAGUUGGAAUCGCUAGUAAUCGCGGAUCAGCAUGUCGCGGUGAAUACGUUCCCGGGUCUUGUACACACCGCCCGUCA
rnacentral:rRNA from 1 species